AGCUACAAGGUAAGGUCGCCGACCUUUCGCUCCUUCCUUCCAUUUUCGCUCAAAAUAGUUUUGUUUAUUUUCUCUUUCUUUUCGCCCAAGCAAACUACAAAUCUAGAUAUUCAAAGAGUUGAAAUUCUCACAAACUAUAUAACUAUUUUUCUUUAUUAAUUUAGAUGUUGAAUUUCAGUAGCAAUUGAAUAUCAUCUCCGUCUGAACGUCGUCGUCUCGUGACCUGCUGUGUUCUGCUUUGUUUCCUUCUCCGUAACCUCUGUAGCGUUUACUUCUUCCGAGACGACGACAAAGACGACUACGUUUAAUCAAUGAAAGCGGAGGUGAAUUAGAUUAGCUUUCUAAGUUUACCUUUGUGCAAAGGAAAUUCGUUGACUUGACAUACCAGCAUUAUGGAGACAACGAGCCUCUGCCGAGAUGGCCACUUAUUGCAGAAUAUGGUUUUGCAUUUCAUUCUCCUUAAUGUGGCUUCUCCGGAAUUUGUUAUGGCAGACUUGCGCGAUACUAGUCUAGGAUAUAGUCUUUCUGUUAAAAAUUUGUAAAUAGUAGUUGCCUGUAGAUAAAUGGAGUCAAGCUGGGUUAAAGUGUUAGAUAAUGGCCGUAGGACUGCUGCAGACAACUCAAAUAGUGAAGUGGCAUCUCAGUGUGUGGCACGUAUAGUUGGAGCCCGCAGUGAGAAGCUUGAGGAGCUAAUAUUUCAACUAAAUUGUAGCUCUUUCUAUAACAAGCUUGGGAAGAGAAAAAGGACUGUUGGCUGUGAGUCUAAUUGCAGAUCACAUCUCAGGAAAUUGAUACCUAAGAACUACUCAAAUUUCAUGAAAAGUGGACUGCCACAACGUGUUUUGUUUCAUCAAAAUGGUGAAUGGAAUGAUUUCCCUGAAGAUAUUAUUCGUUUAGUUAAAGAAGACUUCCGUGCAAAGAAGGCUGUGAUUGAGGUGAAUUGUGGUUGCUUUCAUGUAAUCCUUGAUAUUCUGUAUAUGAUUCAGGUAGAUCUGAUAACUGGUUUAGAGAAACCUAUCGCCUGGAUAGAUGAAGCAGGUGGCUGUUUCUUCCCCGAGUUAUGUCUCGUCAGUUGUAAAAUGCAUGACAACUUUGACAUCCAGUCACAGAGAACUGAUGAUUUCAGCACUGCUGAGCCGGAUAGGGCAACUAAAAUCAAGUUGCAUCUUGAAAUAGACUUUCAUGGACCGAAUAAUUGCAAUUUGGAAGAAUGCGUGGAGGAGUCAAAUGUCAGUUAUAAAAAGACUAAAGUCAAUCCUUUUAAAGAUAAUCAAGAAUUUGCUGAUGAUAAAAUUUCUGAUGCAAAAAUGGAAAUAGUUGUAGACAAUCAACAGAAUCAGGAAAUUCUGUCUCCUAAAUUAGAAGAUGCACUAAAGUUGGUGGAUGCAGAAUCUGUUAAAAAUAUGUUUGUUAAGGGAGUAAAUGGCAUCUAUAAAGUGGAUAUAGUCAAAGUAAGUCAAUGUUCAAGUAAAUAUUUGAGAAGUCGCCUGGAACUGUUUGAGAAGCUGGUUGAGAUAACCCAAAAUUAUCGUGGAAAUUCCAAUGUUCGGUAUGCUUGGCUUGCCGCUUCCAAAGAGCUUGUAUGUACAAUUAUGAAUUAUGGCCUUAUGCAUGGGUCAUCUGGACAGAAUACUAAUCUUGGAGUAGGAGUGCACCUCAUUGCACAGGACCGUGCCUCUAAAAGUGCCGCUAGUUGUGAUGUUGACGAAAAUGGCGUUCGUUACAUGGUUCUUUGUCGUGUCAUUUUGGGCAAUGAAGAACUUUUGCAUUUUGGUACUAAACAAUCUCAUCCGAGUGAUGAGAAAUAUGAUAGUGGUGUUGAUGAUUUGGAGAAUCCUACGUAUUAUACUGUUUGGAAUAUGAAUAUGAAUACACACAUAUAUCCGGAGUAUGUUGUGAGCUUCAGGAUGUCUUCAGGAGCACAAGGAGCUCCAAUAAGGGAAGAAAGUAGGCUUGAUGUCUCCGGAGUUACUUCUCAGGGAUCUGAGGAGCAGUUGGACUUGAAUAAAUUGCCUACGGAAUUGAAUUGUCAGCAAUAUCAGUUUGUAAACAACCUACAGCAAUCCCAUGAUGCUGGUAUAAGUACAAAUAAAGCUCCCAAAUCUCCCUGGAUGCCUUUCUCUAUGUUAUUUGGAGCUAUUUCAGCUAAAGUUGCUCCUAAAGAUAUGAAAUUGGUUCAUGCACACUAUGAUUUGUUCAGGAGCAAGAAAAUUACACGGAAUGAUUUCAUUAAAAAGUUGAGAUUGAUAGUGGGUGAUCAGGUACUGAAGUCUACCGUGACCAAUCUCCAAUGCAAGGUAUGCUAAGAAUGUGCUUCUAUCCAUAUAUAAUUUGGUACCUUAGGCUGGAUGUUUGUUGACAAAAACACGUCUUGAAUUGAUACAUUGAUUUUGAGUUUAAUAGAAGUGGGAACAAUGGUUGCUAUACAUUGAUUUUGAGUUUAAUAGAAGUGGGAACAAUGGUUGCUCUUAGCUUAGGUGGCUUGUGUAUUUGCUUAUGUUGUAUUUCUUUUUUGGUGCAAGAUUCUAUCCUCUAGUUCAAAGUCUAUCGAGACUUCGCUGUUUUCUCUUUAUGGCUGAUCUGAUUGUUUAUGUUAGUGGUGGUACUAACUUUUUAAAAUACACCUGUUGUGGCAAAAUUAUUAUAUUGGUGUCCCUUAUUUUUUAGAUUUUUUUCUUCUAAGAAGUGAAUCUUUGAUAGUGAUGUGAUACUUCUAAUGGGAAUGUUCGUAAGUACCAAGCGCAUUUACAGUGAAGGCAUUAUGAAAUUCCUAUGUGUUUUUUUUAUCAGCAGGGAUGCAACAAGAGGACUACGAAAAAUCCUUUAGUGUUAUUACUACUUUCCCACUCUGCAUUAAUGGAUGAAAUUAUCUUAAAAUCAUAGUAAGAAUGUGGUCAUUUCAAAACCUUUAAUAAGUUAGAAUAUAAACGCUACGUUACAUAGACGUUAUCACUUUGAUUACAUUGUCGCUCAGCUGUUUGAAUUGUCCGGCAGGACAUGCAAUGUAACUGGUGUCAGUAGUAGUAGAAGAAACAUUUUCUUUUGAAUGAUGAUCGACCCUAAUCUCCCCUUAACAAGCGAGGUCAUGUAAAAUUUGUACAUCUUAAAUCCCCCCCCUUUUCAUACUCUUCUUUUCAGCCACUUGAGGUUAUCUUGGACAUCUUUUUCCAGAUAUGUUACUGGAAGAAAUAAUUUGUGCUGCUCUUCCUCUCCCUAAAUAAUUGUCCUGCACCGUCAUUUAAAUUAAAAUACUACUUUCCUGUUGUGUCUUUCAAAAAGGGAUCCACAUUAUAUUGCUUUCCUCCACCAACUAUUACUUUAUUGCUUGGCACUAUAUAAGAAGUCAAUUUGAUUUUUUUUCUCGAAACCAAAAACUCGUAAAUGAGUUCUUUAAGGUGCCAUAUGGUUCCAACUCCUCUUACUGGGCCAUAUGGGAGUACUCAAAUAAAUUUGGCUUAGAGGGGUGUCUUUCCCAUUUCUUUUCUUUUGACAAUAAUAGAUAUGAAGUUUGAUUUAAAAAGUUGUAAUAGAAAAUUCCAAUCAAAGGACGGCAGUGCCAAGCAUUUUUUUGAGUCAUAUGCUGGGAGAAUAUGGGAAUUUUUAUCUUGUUUACGUGACAGCUAUUUCUAAUGAAAUGGAUUAAAAAUAGCUGAUACAAGUCAAUAUGUAAAGUAAAUCUUUUUCUGUUUUAUUUUUGUUUCCCACCCAGUGUUCGAUACCCGCUCUGGGCUUGAGUAAUCCGGAUAUCCGCCGCUUAAGGCCCAUUAAAAGGGUAAGGCAUAUCUUUAGUUACACUGACAAUAGGAAAAAAAUUCAAGGUUGGGACAUUUGUUUCUCUUGUAUCGUGGAUUUUGUAGGGAAUGCAGGCAUGUGAAAUUCUCUAAAACGGUUCACUCCCAUCUUUUCCAUGCAUUCAUUAUAUCAGUUUUUGAUUCAAGAAUAGAGUAGAUCUGUUUUUACUGUACCACGAAAACAAGAUUAGAUCUUGGUAGGAUUCAUAAAAAUUAAUUGAGUGGGGUUAGGUGCAAUUUUGGCUCCAAGUAUACAUUUAUUUAACCUAGGGGAGGGCUGCAUAUUUUUAAUUUUUUAUUAUACUAGAGGAGAUAGUAAAUGUGUUUUACGUUUUACAAUCAAAUCUCAAAUUGGACUUUCUCAGAGGUAUGGGUGAAAUGUGUGAGGUCCCGAAUCCACGAACCUCUUCGUUAAAAGCAUCUUCUUAAGGAAGAUCAGUCACACAUACAACCUUCUAUCACUUACGAUUUGUUGCAAUUUUCAUCUUUUUACCGAUGGCUGAUGGGUGAGGUGAUGAGGCCUGGGUUUAUUUUGUUCUCUGCAUGUUAUUAUUAAUAUAUUCUUGAUGAAAAUUUUGUAUUAAUAUAUAUUUUCUAGUUUUAUCUUUUUUGUUGUCUUCUCUGUUGUCUCUUUUGGCUUCUUUCAUGUGGUGGGAUUUAUUUAAGAUACUGUUGGUAGAUAUAUGGAUAUGCAGUUCGUAGCUGCAGGCUACUGAAUGGAAUUGUAUAGAAAUGGUGAUUUUAGGUCUGAAAAACCUAUCCUUG